rnacentral:rRNA from 1 species
UACGGGGGGGGCAAGCGUUGUUCGGAAUUACUGGGCGUAAAGGGCGCGUAGGCGGCCUUCUAAGUCGAACGUGAAAUCCCCGGGCUCAACCCGGGAACUGCGUCCGAUACUGGAAGGCUUGAAUCCGGGAGAGGGAUGCGGAAUUCCAGGUGUAGCGGUGAAAUGCGUAGAUAUCUGGAGGAACACCGGUGGCGAAGGCGGCAUCCUGGACCGGCAUUGACGCUGAGGCACGAAAGCCAGGGGAGCAAACGGG